AAUUAUAAUUUAUUGUCGGGCUGAAUAGUUUUACAAUGCUAAAUUCCUGUGGUAAUACUCACAUGUCCACAAGCCGCCAGAAUGGCAUUAUGUCAUGCGUUGUCAUAGGGGACCGAGGGAAUCUUAACUACUUAUUAUUAUUUAUUAUAAAUUUAACCUUAGGUAUAGAGUCAGUUGGGGUAAAUGUGAAUAAUCUAAUCUCAGGGAAUUGUAAAUAAAUUAGUUAACUUUUGCGAAAUAAUUGAAACUGAGAAUUUUUUCUGAAUGUUGAUAAAUGGCCAAACUAAUUUUGUUUGCCUGUGGUCAGUAGGCCCUUUCGAUUGAUCCGUAUAAAUAUCCUGUAUGUCUUUGCAUACACAUGGCCCUGAUACAUGUUUCUAGGGUGUAUUCGCUCAUGUCUCAGAUGUUUAAAAGGCUUAUAAUCACUUGGCUUGCAAUACUAAAACAAUAAGUAUUUGGAUGUUUCAUCAACAAAAUAUCUAUAGCAAGAUAAGAGUUAUUUACGCCCACUAAAAUGGUAUACAGAUUUUAAUUUUACCUAAAUGUUCUUUUUCAAUAUA